ensembl:lncRNA
CGCGGGCACGUGCGGCCUGCAAACGGAGUGAGAUUCCUCACGUUCUCCAAGAAGGGCGAUGCCUCACGUUCCCAAAGAAGGGAGAUGCCUCACCUUCUCCGAAGAAGGGAAAUGGCUCAACCUCUUCGAAGAAGUAAGAUACCUCACGUUCACCCCACGUGCAUCUUCAGCAGUGAAUUUAAAACUCGACUAAAAACCCCGGAAGAUGGCAGUUAGCCUACUCAGCCUUGAGCCUUCUUACCUGGAUCUAGUACUGUCUAUCUCUCAGUUCAGUUCAGUCAUUCAGUCGUGUCCGACUCUUUGUGACCCCAUGGACUGCAGCACGCCGGCCUCCCUGUCCAUCACCAACUCCCGGAGUUCACUCAGACUCACAUCCAUCGAGUCGGUGGUGCCAUCCAGCCAUCUCAUCCUCCGUCUCUGUCUCUCAUUGCCUACCAAAUCCAGAAGUUCCAGGUGGAAGAGCUGGGCUUCUAUUGUUCACCAUUCCCAGGGCCUGGCACUGGGUCUGGAACUCAGGUGGCGUCUUAGACUGGAUGCCCCAGCAGCAGAGUCAGAGCUGAGAGUUCUUGUGCAGGCUUAAGAAAGAACAUCAAGAAAAAAAGAAGAAGAAGAAAAGAGAAAAGAUGGAGAAACUGGAGAACAUAAGUGAA